CGGUACAAAAACACAAAGCAACUAGAGGAAAUAAUCCCGGGCUACUGUGUUCCGCGCAUGCGCCGCCUGAGCUUGCGGUGCAACCAAGCUUGUAUGUUGCCCCGGCUAGAUCCCGCCCACCUUCUCCGAGUUGAUUGGGCCGCUGGCGGAGCGGCGGGACGGGGAUUGGAGCGGGCGCGCUGUCAGUUAGCGGUCGGCGUGUGGCGCGGGUAGGUUGGUCGGGGUAGUUAAGCGCGGCGGGCGUGCGGCGGCAGUGGCGCCGGGGGGAGGGUUUUCUUCUUUUUUUCUUCUUCUUCUUUUGGUCGCGCACACUCACGGCGGCGGCGGGGGCUCGGUGACAGGCGGCCUCUUCUCUCAGUCACUUCUCCGUGUGUGGCGGUCGGUGUGCCCCUCGCACACCAACACUCGCUCACUUGCGCGGGCGGCGAUGGUCGGGGAAAUGGAAGCCAAGGAGAAGCCGAGACCCAGUCCCGACUACUUGAUGCAGCUGAUGAACGACAAGAAGCUGAUGUCGAGUCUGCCCAACUUCUGCGGCAUCUUCACUCACCUGGAGCGGCUGCUGGACGAAGAAAUAAGCAGAGUGCGAAAGGACAUGUAUACAGAUACGAUGAAUGGCCUUGUUGACAAGCUGCCCAUGGACCUACCAGAACCCAUAGGACCUAUUAUGCAGUUACAAGAGAAACUAUUUGUGCCUGUGAAAGAAUAUCCAGAUUUUAACUUUGUUGGUCGAAUCCUUGGCCCAAGAGGCCUCACUGCAAAACAACUGGAAGCAGAGACUGGUUGCAAGAUCAUGGUGAGAGGGAAAAGUUCAAUGCGGGACAAAAAGAAGGAAGAACAGAACAGAGGCAAACCCAACUGGGAGCACCUGAAUGAAGAUCUCCAUGUAUUAAUAACUGUUGAAGAUACUCAAGACAGAGCAGAACUAAAGUUGCGAAGAGCCGUAGAAGAGGUUAAGAAACUUCUGGUGCCUGCACAGGCAGAAGGUGAAGACAAUUUGAAGAAGAUGCAACUGAUGGAGUUAGCUAUUCUUAAUGGAACCUACAGAGAUGCCAACAUCAAAACACCUACCCUUGCCUUUUCUCUUGCAGCAACAUCGCAGGGUCCACGGCUGAUUACUGGGCCAGCUGCCCCCAUGCUUCCACCAGCUGCCUUGCGUGCCUCUACGCCAGCUGGUCCUACCAUUAUGAAUAUCAUUAGGCCAAUUCAGACAGCUACAGUUAUGCCUAACGGAACUCCUCAUCCAACUGCCUUAGUACCACCUUCACCAGAAGCUGGUAUAAUCUAUACAACUCCCUACGACUACCCGUAUGCUUUGACACCAGCCGCAUCUCUACUGGAAUAUCCAAUGGAGCCAAGUGGGGUUCUAGGUAUGGCUUUUCCAGCGAAAGGCUAAGAAUGCAUGGGACAUGUGUCUGAAUCCUCAGGAAAAUAAUAACUUCCUCUGAAGAAGUGAAGAGCCUGACCAAGCACAUUGAAACACGAGCAGUAUAGCCAAGCUUAUUUUGGGUGCAGGGUGUACAGUAUUUGGCAGGCUUUAACCACAUCAUACAAUAUAUCCUAAGACUUAAGGACACGGUCAGUGGUUUAAAGUACCUAAAGCACUUUUAUUUUUUUGAAACAAGUGUUCCCUUGUAGCGAUGUUGAAAAAAUGGAUACACUGAAGACCUGAUUGGAUGAAUGCCAUAUCACAUACCCUAUCAAACCACUACUUGGAGCAGCAAGGUGAUGGUGUGCGGUGAUAAACAAAGAACCAGAAUUAAAGGGGGUUUUUACCGGCUUUCCCAUAAAGGUUAUUAGAUUUUUAAACAAAAAUCAAAAAAAAAUUUAGUGUAUUUUAGAUUUUUUGUAAAUAUAACUAGUAGACAAUGUAUUGAUUCAGAUAUAAUUCUAAAAAAAAAGCAGCUCUAAAUUGUCAUACUGCUUAACUCGUGGGCCUGUAUUUAAAAUUUAAAUGUCAGAAUGGAAAAUUGCAAGAAAUGUGUUGGGGACAUGAUGGUGCAAUGGAUUAGAACACUCCGUUCUUGUCAAUUUUAUUUGGGUUCAGUUCCAACCCGUAUUGAAAUGAGACGUUCCUAUUUUAUAUCUCAAAUGUAUACAGUUUCUGUUUUAGUUUUCUGUUGGAUACAGACCCACAAUGUAAAACUGCUCACAAUGGGCAAUCUUGCUUUGAGGCUUUUAUGGUCAAGAUGCAGUGCUGAAGCAGCGUAGGAGAUCUGAACUGUGUCCAGUUUGUUCCUUGCCUGACCUACCUAUGAAUUAGACAUUACCCUUUGAAGAAGGUGCAGGUGCAGUGAUUUCGAAGGUCAAUUGCAGACUAGUCUCAAUGCGCUGAUAUUUUAUUUUGAUCUACCAAACAUCGCUCUUUACCCUUUUUUCCUGAAAUGGUGGCUUAGUACUUUAUCUCAGUAACAACAUUAAUCUGUAAACAUUGGUAAAUUAACCCAUGACAUUAAAAUCCACAAAAAAAAAUCUGUGGCUAGGGCUUUAAGGGUUAAUCAUUACAAUGGAGUCUUUUGUCAUUGUGCCUGUGAAAUAAUAGAUCAAGAUAAGCUGAAGCUUAAACUGCUUUAAAUUCCUUUGAAACCAGUUUUUAAAACAAUUCUGGAAAUAGUGCUGCUGCCUUGAAGUGGCAUAUGCUGUUAUGAUUUAAAAGUACAUUUCUUUUGGGAUCUAGAGCAAGAGGCAUUGGAAUCUGAUCUUUGUAUCACAAUGCACACUAACCACUGAUCAACCUUUGUAACACACUGACACUUGCCAAACUGGCACUCAUGAUCCAAAUCUGCAGUGUUUCAAUCUCUGCUUGGUGCAAGGCUCAUUUAUUUUUGUACUUUAUUUUUUACUAACUGCUUAUCAAUGAAUGCUGAUGGGUUUUUACUGUGGUUUUGGAUCUCUCUCCUGCACUAAAUUAUAUGUGUAAGCUGCCCACAGUGUUUCUCCCCCCUCUUGAAUAUUUACCGGUGCUAACUUAAUUAACAACAUAGCACAUGAGUAAACUUAAGUAGAUAACUUGUGUGAUGCAAUUUACCUAACAUCACAAUAAAGUAACGAGACCUACAGUAAUCUGCAGGUUCCAUAAAGGACCCAGGGCUGCUUUUACAUAAUAGGAGUGGGCAUCUUUGGAAGAACAUCUUCAGAAUUUGUGCAGAGUGCUCUGGUGUUAAAUACUGUUAAAUUUGAGUCUGUCAUACCAAAAUAAAGCAUUUCAAUGAGCUUGUAUUUAGACACUCCGAAGAACAAAGCAGUUCUGAAUACAAGUUUUAAAACAUAGAAUUGUACAGCACAGGAACAAGCCAUUAGGCCCACAAUAUCGUGCAGAGCCAGCUAAAAAACGAAUCAACAAAACCCAAACACUAAUGCCUCCUACCCACACCGUGUCCUUACCCCUCCAUCUUCUCUACAUCUAUGUGCUUAUCCAGAUGCCUCAUAAAAGCCUCUGUAUUUUCCUUUAACACCAUACAAGGCAAUACAUUCUAGGCAUCUGUCACUCUGAGUAAAAACUUGUCCCACUCACUUUCAAUGCAUGCCCUCUGGGAUUAGCUAUUUCAAUCCUGGGAAACAAAUACAGUCUGUCCACUCUAUCUAUCCCUCUCAUAAUCUUGUAAACCUCUACAGAUCUCCCCUUAGCCUCUGCCAUUUCAGAGAAAACAACCCAAAUUUGUCCAGCUUCUCAUGAUAUCAGCUGCCCUCUAAACCAAACAGAAUCCUGGUAAGCUUCUUCUGCACCCCCUCCAAAACCUCAGUGUCCUUCCUAUAGUGGGGUGACCAGAACUGUAUACAAUACUCCAGAUGUCUUUCUUUACUCUCCGGGUUUGGUAAGGAAAUUCCUGGACCCUAUUGAAACAAAUCUUCAUAAUUUAACUUUGACACUAUGGAUUUUAAGUCAUUUACACUAAUCCCAUUAACUAGUAUCCUGUUUAAGGAUUUUCAAUUUUUUUAAAAAUAGUAUUAGAUUGCAAGAAAAAGCUUUGAGUGUUGAUUGUCAAGGAAUGACAGCUUAAUAAUGCUCCCAACAGUCUUAGAGAUAUUUGCAACAAUGUCGGUAAGCUUCACGCUUACUGCAUUAAUCUGGUUUCACUUGCUUGAGGAUUUCCAAAAGGCUAGCACUGAAAAUACUACAGUUGACUUGAACACUGAAAUAUUCUGUUCAUCUUGUCCAAGGCCAUUUAGCAAAUCUUUAUUUAAGUUAACCAAAAUUGAUAUUGUACCUGGGUGUGUUUGGUCAUAUGCAGUUAUCCAUUGGAAUGAAACCUUUUGAACAGCCCCAGCACACAGUACUAAGAGAUAAGCAGUUAGUAAAGCAAAUGUCUGGCAAGAUUACCUAACUUUUCAAGUCAUUGUGCUAUUGUAUUGUUGAAUUAUGUACAUCUUCACCAAUUUUGAGUUCCUUUUUUUUUUAAAAAAAGAUUCUAACUUUCUUUUGGACUUGUUGCAAUUUAACUAGGUGCGAUGGCAACAAAAGUUCGGAGGCAUGAUUCGCGUGUCCAUCCUUACCAAAGGAUUGUGACCGCAGACAGAGCUGCCACAAGCAACUAACCCAUGACCUUUGACCUCUGAACUCUUCACCCAAUGAUGACCUGACCAUGCCUGUCUGCUGAUCAGUUAACUGGUUAUCGCCUAUGCUUGCCUGUCUCCAAUGCAGCGAGCUGAGGCACUGUCUGUUCGUCUCGUUACCUAACAACGUUUAUAUAAAAAAAAAGCUCCAGCCACAGCUUUUCUGGUUGGGUGAAUGUGGUGCCAGAACCUGCACUGAGUAAUACUAAAGCAAUAAGUCCAGUUCAUCCCUCACUACUGUUUCUCAGUGAUCAUCUCUUAAAGAUUCUCCCUAAAGAAUGGUAAGGAAGGUCUCUAACUGCACUGGCAAAAGGAUUGAGCGCUGUACAAACAGUUGCCACCGGACAAAUGUGAUGGAGAUCUGAUGUUAGUUUGUGUUGUAGUUACAAACUCUUUGACCGCAUUUGUAAUGAUGCAUUAUGAAUGAACCUUGAGUCAAGUAUAUUGGGGAAGAGUUCAAUACUGACAGUGUACACUGCAAUUAUGAACAAAGAUUUAAUACUUCAUGUACAGUACUAUUGGUUGUUGUUGCCAAACACUCAAGCCCAUUUUUGGAGCCACAUUAGAAAGAGAAUGUAAUUCAGUAUUGCUAGCCACAAAACAAAAUAAAAAUGUUUUGAACAAAGCCUAGUUAUCAGAACUACCUGAUUAAGCCAAUUAAAUCAGUCAACAAUUAAUUUUAUGGGACGGUUUCUCCCAGUAUUUUUGUAGUUCAAUCAAUUCCAGUCAGCGGCAUCCCCCUUCCCCUCAGCUGUAAGUUGAAUAGAUGUCUGCUGGUUAGUACACUUGUAGCACGGACUUCACAUCAUGCCACAAGCACACCAUCUUGGUGGCGUACUUUAAUAAUCAGCAAACUUGAAACCUUUCGCCAUCUUCUACAUAUAUCGAUCUUCAAAUCUAUUCAUGAUUUGAGCCUGACUCUCCAGUCUUUUCCCAGGUAUCUACAGCCCUGGUUAAUCCAAACCAUGCAGUUUAAAGUAUAAUAAUUGCCAGAACACAGAUAGGGGUAACAUAACAUUUUGCAUCGUUAGAGCAUCUUGUGCCAGAAAUCGCUUUUUUUGAGUUGCUAAAAAUACCACUUGAAAUGUUUAUGAAAUUGUUUGAUUAACUUCUGCGAACUUUAUGUUGUGUUAUUCUUUUGCAUUAAGCAUUCAAUUGAAGAGGCCAAACAUUUAGCUUGUCAUCUCCAAUUACUGUUGUGCACAAUAGUAUUCUCCUCUCCUUUCUCUCUCGUCCCUGCCCCACAAGUUUACGAUUUCAUUUAACUGAUCCGAGCUGCAUACAUUGAUCCAAUGUACUAGUUUGCAUUCAAGCUCAGCUUGGGGAAAGCCUGUGCCAUUCUUACUGCUCACACGUAUCUUGACGUGAAGGUACAUUCAUAAUGUGUCACUUUCUGGAUGCAAAAAAAAAAUCUGUUUCUAACUCUUCGUAAAUGGACACUUCUUUCAGAAGGAUGUGAAAGCCAUGCUUGCCUAUUCUAUUUACUAUAUAUGUUAUAAAAGUGUAGAUAAGUUCAGUGCAUUUAAACCACAGAGGAAAAACUAGAUACUUUUACAGGGUGCUGGUGAAGAAAUAUAUAUUUUUGACAAUUUAGCUUUUUAUACUUACUUGCAGUAACAAAAUACAAAAACUAUUUAAAAAAAUGUAAUGGAAGUGAAGCUGAAUGGUUAUGGUUUAAAAAAAAGAUAAACUGAAGACCAAAACAGUAUAUCUAGGAUUUUUGCAGGGUUGUGGGUGAGAAGAGAAGAGCAUAACGGAAGGAAAAUAGUGCCUUAUACAUGCCUGGUCAUUUUGUAAGUGUCUAACCAACAUAUUGUUUGACUCAAUCCUGAUGCAUGUCAGUCCAUCAUUAGAGAGAAGGGAAGUGGUCUGAAUUGGCAAAGGUGUUCAAAAAAAAGAGAGAACAGCGAGGGCAGUUGUGUGAAGCUACUCAAAUUUAAAAGCGAUUAGGCCUGUUCAGUUUAUUGAUUCUAUGCAACAAGUUUCUCAACCAGCUUCUAUUUUAUGCCACCAUUUGUGUCUUCCUAAGUUGUUCAUAUUUCAAAUUUUUCUCAUCGUGCCAUUAUUUCUCCAUAAAAUUGAAGCUUUUUUUCUCGCGUAAGAUCAGAGAGUUUUCUAACGUUCACUUACAAAAUGAAGGCCUUUUUUUGGCUUAGUUUUGCCGAUUAAUUAGAAGCAGAAAACCAGCUCUUAUCACUAAUUAUACAAUGCUGCAGUGUUUGACUCUAGAACAAAGUGCGUAAGAACAAAUUUGAAAUGUUUUAUUUCUCGCUGCCCUUCGAUGUUUUUUCUUCUGUCAACUCUCAUUGAGUUUACAUCAAUUGUACGAACUCAAUAUUUUGUCAGUGUUAUUUUUUUGUAAACAAAACAUUGAAAGUUUUUGACAGUAUUAUGUAUUCCCUCAGUUACAUUAAGGAAUAGCUCGAAGACUCUGCUGUUACAUAAAUGGUUGGUUGAAUGCAAAGCAAUUACAUAUGCUGUGUACAAUAUUUAAUAUAUUGCCUACACACAUGUAUAGUAUUGUAAUUACCACCAUUGUUACAAGUUUAUAAUGUAUUUUUCUAUCUUCAUUUUGUAUGUAUAUUGUAUACCAUUUACAAUUUUUUCUUCCAGAUUUGAGGCCACUGUGGUUUUGAUAGCCAGAAACCAUUGCAGAUUUCUCGUGAUCAUAAUCUCUAUCAUUGGGAGUGUUGCCUUUUCUGACUUGUUAACUCAUUAUUCAUUUAAUAAGUUUCUUGUUAAAAAAUGUUUUUACAUGCUUGCAUUUUAUUUCAUGGUGUUUGCUGUUUCUAUUAACCCUGGCAUUUAUUUUAAUAAACGUUAUAGUACAAA